GCCGGGCAUGGUGGCUCACGCCUGUAAUCCCAGCACUUUGGGAGGCCGAGGUGGGUGGAUCACCUGAGGUCAGGAGUUCGAGACCAGCCUGACCAACAUGGAGAAACCCCAUCUCUA
rnacentral:SRP_RNA from 2 species